rnacentral:rRNA from 1 species
GGUUAAGCGAAUAAGCGUACACGGUGGAUGCCUAGGCAGUCAGAGGCGAUGAAGGACGUGCUAAUCUGCGAUAAGCGCCGGUAAGGUGAUAUGAACCGUUAUAACCGGCGAUUUCCGAAUGGGGAAACCCAGUGUGAUCCGUCACACUAUCAUUACCUGAAUACAUAGGGUAAUGAAGCGAACCGGGAGAACUGAAACAUCUAAGUACCCCGAGGAAAAGAAAUCAAACGAGAUUCCCCCAGUAGCGGCGAGCGAACGGGGAGCAGCCCAGGACCUUAAUCAGCAUCAGUGUUAAGAGAACAGUCUGGAAAGGCUGGCCACAGCAGGUGAUAGCCCUGUAUCUGAAAGCACUGGUGUUGUGAGUCCGAUGAGUAAGGCGGGA